rnacentral:rRNA from 1 species
UACGAAGGGGGCUAGCGUUGCUCGGAAUCACUGGGCGUAAAGCGCACGUAGGCGGCUUUUUAAGUCAGGGGUGAAAUCCUGGAGCUCAACUCCAGAACUGCCUUUGAUACUGAGAAGCUUGAGUCCGGGAGAGGUGAGUGGAACUGCGAGUGUAGAGGUGAAAUUCGUAGAUAUUCGCAAGAACACCAGUGGCGAAGGCGGCUCACUGGCCCGGUACUGACGCUGAGGUGCGAAAGCGUGGGGAGCAAACA